GGUAAUAGCACCAGUGUACUUCGAUAACGUUUCUGGUGCUGCCAAACAUGGUGGGGUCUCCCAGCUUUGCAGAGGGUCGCUGUCAGGAGUGUCUUGGGAGUAAUGAAGAUUUUGAUUCCAUGUCCAUGAAAGUAGUGAUAAGGUUGCGGUGCCACACUAAGAGUAUGGCCAUGAACUUCUCUCCUAUAAGAUGUCCCUUCAGACUGUGUUCACCUAACCUCCUAAUACUGAAAUGAAGAUGAGGACGCUUCAGAGCAGAACAGACAUCUUUCUCCAUCAAACAGGUCCACUCUCCUCCAGGUCCACUCACCUCCAUCCUCGCCACCUUGCCCUUUCCCCUCGGACCUCUUCCGCGGCGUCCUCCUGGCUCCUCCCCGUGCCUCCUUGCUUCCUCGGUCCCAAGUGCCCCCGGCUCCCUUGUCUCGGUUCCCCUUGCCCGUGUUUCCUUGGCGUCCGCCUCUCCCUCACCUCCACUCCCUCAAUCCCUUUUUCCCCCCUUCAA